AGGAACAACCUAUGAAUCAGGUGUUAGAUUGUCUUGUGCUGAUGCUGUAAUAGAAGAAAUCCUAGAUUGCACCCCUGCUUCCAAACCUGUUUCAGUGCCUACCCAUACAGAUUCAAACCUCCUUUAUUUUGACUUGGAAACAACUGGACUAGGUACAUCAGCAGAAAUAACACAGCUUGCUUGCAUAUUUGAAGAAGAAACCUUUAAUAGAUUUUAACAUGUUUAGUGACAUCGUUGCGGAAAAACACACUAUUUGUAAGUAUGUCGAUCAUGUUGGUUUGAAAAGCUUGUGUUUCCAUAGCGUAUCAACUCGAUGUUCAUCAUGUAAGUAUUAUGUAUGGUGUACUGUUUGUGUUCUUUGUGUCUGUGUCUGUAGUACAUGUAGUUGCAUGCAAGCUUUUUAAAUAUAAAAUAUAUAUCAGAACAUCGUCGGCACUUUAUACAGAAUAUAAGUAUUAUUAUAAUUCCUAUUUUUCUUUUGUAUUGUCCUUUUUUCUGUUGUAUUGUCCAUUGCAUGCAUUUGUGUGUAAAUUUAUGAGGUUUCUUUUAGAAUAAAAUUUUCUUUAAUAAUUUAUUAACUCAUAUUAUUGAUCCUUCAUUGUACAAUAGUUUGCAAA